UACAGAGGUCUCAAGCGUUGUUCGGAUUCAUUGGGCGUAAAGGGUGCGUAGGCGGCGGGGCAAGUCGGAUGUGAAAUCCCGGGGCUCAACCCCGGAACUGCAUUCGAUACUGCCUUGCUCGAGUACUGGAGAGGAGAUUGGAAUUUACGGUGUAGCAGUGAAAUGCGUAGAUAUCGGAAGGAAGACCAGUGGCGAAGGCGAAUCUCUGGACAGUUACUGACGCUGAGGCGCGAAAGCGAGGGGAGCAAACGGG
rnacentral:rRNA from 1 species